UGUUGUUAGUUGUGCUAGGAUUCUC
rnacentral:piRNA from 1 species